GAUUUCUGGCUUGAAACAUUUUGCCGGCCACGGUUUCGUGUGUUAGUGCUUGGUGUUCUGGCCAUCCUUCCAAUCGCUGUUUGUCUUUCUUCAUUGAUGGGCAAGUGGUAUUGGAUCUUUUACUUUGAAAAAAUUAGAGUGUUUAAAGCAGGCUUACGCAAUGAAUACAUUAGCAUGGAAUAAUAAUUUAGGACUUCGGUUCUAUUUUGUUGGUUUCUAGGACUGAAGUAAUGAUUGAUAGGGAUAGUUGGGGGUGCUAGUAUUCCGCGGCCAGAGGUGAAAUUCUUGGAUUCGCGGAAGACUAACUACUGCGAAAGCAUU
rnacentral:rRNA from 1 species